UAGGAUGUGGUGUGACGGCCGAUGGCAUGCGGUGAAGGUCAAGCGAAAGGUUCAUGCCGAUGGACUAAGGGCGGUGAAGGAUGAACACGAGUAGGCUUGGACCGAUGGACUUGAGGAGUCCGGGCGAAGUCAUGGGUGGUCCACAUGGUGCACGGAUUGGCAAGACAACAUGACGGUGAUGAAGACGAUGUCGGUUGAGUCAAGCGGGACGGAGGCAAGUCAAGUAGGAGGCCCGGGAGCCAAGAGCCGGGAGCGAACGACUUGGAGGCGUUAAAGGCUUGGUGGACACCGGACACGCGUCAACAUCGAGGAGGUCGCGUGGCGGCCAAGCGAAGAUGGACGGUUUGGGUGGUUUGGGCCUCAAAACCACCACGCUAGUAGGUUUCCCGGUUUGAGCCUCAAAAUCGGGGGCGAGGCCGGUGCGGCCGUUGCUUCGAGAAGGAGGGCACGUGGCAUCAUCACGAAGCUUGCGUCGAGGCGAAGCAAUAUCGUGAAGGUGGCGUGUCCGUCCGAUGAGCGUAGAAAAACUUGGACCAAAAUGCCCCUGCGUGGGUAAUUAUCCUAGUUGUAGUUGUAGGGGUAGUUUGGUCAUCCGUCCCGGACUAUAAAUAUGGAUGGAUGGCUGUUCAUUUCAGCACCUCUUGAGAAAACCCUAAAUCAUUUGCUUAGAGGCUAGCCAAGUGCUUAGAGAGAGAGGAGAGAGAAAGAUGAGGGUGAUUGCUCUUUUCUCUUGAUAAACUUCAUUUUAGUGGGUGGAUGAAGGGAGGAGGCUAGUCCUCAUCUUGUAAAGAUGUUGGCCUCGUGAUUUAGUUGAAUUUGUGUGUCAAAUCCAUGG
rnacentral:lncRNA from 1 species